UUAGUUCAUAUUUGUAUGGAAUGGGAUCGUUUGCCUACGUUUGCCGUUAGGGGCGCUGUUCCAACUGCAUACAAAAUUGGGUUA
rnacentral:pre_miRNA from 1 species